UAAACUUAGUUAGUAUUUCUCAAAUUAAGAAUGCAAUUACUUCCGUUAUCUGCCGCUGCAAUGGCUCUGCUUCCUUUAUCAGUCAGAGGAGAUUUGGGCGUUCUUUCCACUGCUGCCACUAGAUAUGCCCUUUCUCUGUUGGAAUCAUUUGUGGAAAUGGGACCUCAUGGAGCUUUUGCUGCUCCUAAGCUUUUACAACCCUAAAUCAAGGACUCAUUGGACCGAUUUUAUUAGGAACUGAGUGGACCUUCUGGCUUUCUUGCUUUUAGGGUUAAAAUCCAAUGGUAUACUUUCAGCAGAGAUGGUAAUUAUAUGGAUAUUCAUGCUUUUAGCUUACCUUUCUAAAGAUGUCAAGUUGUCUGCUUUAGCAUGCAACCAAUCGCAUGGGCAAACAUAUUUAAUGAUUGUGACUGCUCCAAAUUUCCAUUUGUAUGAUGCUUUUUGGAUAUUCUUUUUCAUGGUUAUAUUUUGGGUGAAAUGCCACUAAUAUAUAUGCAGACAUAGUACUUUUAAAUCUGACUUUGUUAAGUUUACUUCCAAUUUUUCAGAUUUAUAUGUUUGCAGAAUUGUACUAGCCUGGUUGUACUCUGGAGUAACCUCUUCGUGGAAAUGGGGCUGUUGUUGCUCUUGUUUGAGAAAUACAGAAGUUUGAAAAACAUCUAUCUCUAGUUGACAACGAAUUCUAUCUUCUUGGGAUGCUAUUGACUGAAAAAUUGUCUGUGCUGCAGUUUAUGCGUGCUAAAGAGGCUGUUGUCAGCAAUACAUUAAUGUGGGUCUGUUAAAACCUGCUUCCCAAGGAAUAACUUCCGAAGUCACAUAUGGAUAGGAUUAAGACAACACAACAGUGCGAAUCAUUCAUGCAUCUCCAUCUAGGCUUUAGUGCAGAAGUGAGAAAAUAUUAGUAACUGGCAACUUAGUUGUCUAAUCAAAUGAUUUUAGAUCUUUGUUAAUCCAAAAAUUGUGUUUUUCAAAACUAUUUGUGCACAAAUUCUUUUCUGCAUGAUGACUCUGAGUUACUAGGUGUCAGAUGGUAAAGUUAAUAUUUUGACUUUAGGUGCACUAAAUGGCUAAUACUCUGAAAAUGAGUAAAUUUGGUACUUUUGAUGAAUGUAAAACAAACUAUGCUAUUGCUGUGUACAUAUUGAUUAUCCUUUAUCACUUAUUUCUGAUUAUCUACUUAAUAAGUAAAUUACAGAAUAAUUUCUCCCAAUUUCUAUAAAGCUCAUUGUACCCAUAUGUUACUAGGUUUUGCAUGUUCCUUGUGUAUACUAUCUCUAUACAUCUCAUUAGCCUCUUUUUAAGCAUCAUAAUGUCCAUGGUCUACGCAAGGAUUUGGGAAUUCAUCAUAUUGUUGAUAAUGACUGCGAUAGAGGAGUUGACGCUGAACAGAAUGUUGUUUUAAUUUCUGUGCCCGGUGUACUUAGUCUGAAUCUUGCACCACCAGGGAAGCAUGUUUAACAUGCUUAUAUCCCAGGAACUGAACCAUAUGAAUUGUAGGAUGGACUUGAUCGUAGAAGUGCAGAACACAAAAAGCUUACAGCUGAACAAUAGGUACUUAUAUGUGCUUGCUAAUGUUAUUUGAUUAUGCUUUGCUUCUUUUUAUGGCUAAACCAUAGCUUGAAAAUUCAAAAAACUCUAUAAAAGUGAAAAGCUUGUAAUUCUUUUGUUCAUUAAAAGAAAAUUGUUUCACAAUAGCUUCAAAAAAGUAAGCUUAUCUGGCUAUAUUUUUCUAGUUAUCAGCUAGACACUUCGGACUUCUCUCGUGAAAAAAGAGAGUCCUAAAAUUUGUAAAACCAACUUUUUUCUUUAUGAUUUUCAUAUUCAUUUCCCAAUGGCUUUCAUUUUCUAUUAAUUCCUUCAAGAAUAAAGUCAUUGAUCAGACUUUUUAUCAACCCCAUUGGACCUUAAUUAUUGGCUCUUCUGCUAAUUCACAAUACUUAACUAUUACUACACCAGAACCAAGAUUGAACUUUAUCUUAUUUUGGGCAUCCACAACUUUUACCUAUUCCUUUAGUUUCUCCUUGUCUGGACAAAUGAGUCUUCAACAUGAUUAAAAUCUGUAGUAUAAUUGUUUGUUACUUCUCUCAAGUGAGACAUUUCUGUCUAGUUGAUUUAAUGCUUCAAAAACCAGGUAAUAUGGAAAGCACACUCUUUGAUGUUUGUUAUGUUGUGGCAUGAGUAACAAGGGACAACGAUGAAAUGUAGUUGGGCCUUUGAAUGUUUUAUGUUAUCCUAACAUUUUAUAUUCAUUGGGUACUUAGAAUUUCACUUGUUAUCCUAACAUUUUAUAUCCUAAACAAUAUGUGCCACAUGGGCUGAGUUCAAGAUUGUCGGAUGCAACUUAUUAUUCUGCUGGGGGGUGGGGGUGGUGUAAAUGCAUUUAAGACCCGUACAUGGUCUCCUGUGGAAGUUGCUCACUCAACAUUUCGCUUACUGUUUGAGCAAUGUAAUGUGGAGAGCUGUCGAACGUGCCCUUAAGCUCAGGUUUCAGACGUAAUAAAUGUGAGGUGAAAUUGGUUGGAACUCGGUUGACACAUUAAAGGUUUUUACAAAGAAAUAGAGGAACUAAUGGACCUGCUACACAAGCUGGUCAAGACUCUUUUCCAGGACAUUCGACACCCAUUCCACAACUUUAAUGUUGUGGAGAUUCUACUUUUCCUGGCUGUGGAUUCCUUGCAGUUUCUCAACACUUCCAACAGCUUCUUGAUGCUAUCGAAAUUUGAAUACAUUGGAUAUAUUACGACAACAACACAAUCUUGAUCGAACAAUUAUGAUCUUCAGGUUAAGUUCAAGAUUCAAAUUCCUUUUCGUUUUUAAAGAAUUGAAGCACCAUGACAGAAGGAAUAUGUUACCUUUCAGAUUUCAUGCACCACAGCGGAGGAGACUUCCUUUUGAAGCAAGAAUCCUGUACGUUCUUUCCAGGAAAUCAAGAAUAAUUUUUUUUUUCCAUUUGCAGUUACUCACGAGUCAAUUCUGAUAAUUAAAAUUAAAAAUUUAGCAUCCUAUUAUAUAUAUAUAUAUAUAUAUAUUCAAACUAUUUUUGUUAAUUAUGUAUUGGACCAGUUGUUGUGUUACUUUCUUAUAUAUCGUAAUGGAGACUACAUAUGUAUAUGAAUGGUGUAGGACCACCUAUGCAUAAUUGUACUUUUUGUUCAUGACAUGACACUUGCUAGUUCUUGGCUAACUACCCUUUCACUUUAACACUUGGAAGCAUGCAAAUUAAGAAAAUUUGAGAAAGCCAACAUGAUCAUCACGGCAUAUGGCUAUUAAUCGACUGUAUGGGUUCUGUCAUCAAUUCUUAUUAUGCAUGCAUCGAAUUCCCCUGACUUUUUAUGCAAUAUUUCAAGCCGAUACAACUGAUGAGUAAGGAUUUCUCUGGUUAAUUUUGUAAGCAAUAAUUUCAGAGUUGCAUGCGGUGGUGGUAGCACCAUGCAUGCAAUUGGCAAGCUCAACUUCCAUGACCACCUGCUGUAGUAUUCCAUAUAUCAUUAAUAAUCAUACGUGAAAAUCUGAGGGUCAAGAUCUUUCAUGCAAUUUCUGUAAUAAUUGCAUGGAAUUCUCAACCCUUGCU